rnacentral:hammerhead_ribozyme from 1 species
AUCCACCUGAUGAGUCCCAAAUAGGACGAAACGCGCGUUCUGGAU